rnacentral:rRNA from 1 species
UACGGAGGGGGGCUAGCGUUGUUCGGAAUUACUGGGCGUAAAGCGCACGUAGGCGGCGAUUUAAGUCAGAGGUGAAAGCCCGGGGCUCAACCCCGGAAUUGCCUUUGAGACUGGAUUGCUAGAAUCUUGGAGAGGCGAGUGGAAUUCCGAGUGUAGAGGUGAAAUUCGUAGAUAUUCGGAAGAACACCAGUGGCGAAGGCGGCUCGCUGGACAAGUAUUGACGCUGAGGUGCGAAAGCGUGGGGAGCAAACAGG